UGCCUACGGGAGGCAGCAGUGAGGGAUAUUGGUCAAUGGGGGAAACCCUGAACCAGCAACGCCGCGUGAGGGAAGACGGUUUUCGGAUUGUAAACCUCUGUCCUCUGUGAAGAUAAUGACGGUAGCAGAGGAGGAAGCUCCGGCUAACUACGUGCCAGCAGCCGCGGUAAUACGUAGGGGGCAAGCGUUAUCCGGAUUUACUGGGUGUAAAGGGAGCGUAGACGGAGGAGCAAGUCUGAUGUGAAAAUCCGGGGCCCAACCCCGGAACUGCAUUGGAA
rnacentral:rRNA from 1 species